CCUUGGAAUUGGAAAGAAAUUCUGUUAGUAAAACUGUCAAGGAUUCUAUGACAGGUCCGAAUUGGGGAUGAGUCCACAUACUCGAAUGAUGAUGAUGUUCCUGGAAAUCUCAGAUAUAUGUGGGGUUGGGGAAGUAUUUUGCGGAUUUGAAGAGGCCUUGGUUCUACAAUGAGGUGUAGGACUCGGCAGUUGAUCUGCAGUUUAGGGUGGUGGUGGGAAAGCAACUCUCAGAUUGAAUCCCUACAAUGAUCCUCAAAUUCAAGGAAUCAUGUAAGCGUGAAUUCUCUCGUCCAAGUUCUGAAAUGCUGAAUGAUUCCACCCACUCACAUGAUGAUAAUUUUCCUUGAAAUUCUCAGUUUUAUGUUGAGCUGAAGAAAUGCAUUGAGGAUUUGAAGGGACUUCUGAUCCACAGCGAGGUGUCGGUCGCUGGUGUCCAGUAUAUGGGGUUCGUCGGAAUUCGGAAAAUAACUCACUUUGAAUCUCUACAAUAAUCCUCAAAUUAAAGGUGAUAUGGUUCUCUCACAUUUUCUAAUUGGAUUUUAAAUCUUCUUUAACAGAGAGGAUGCCCUGUUUCGAAUUGUUAGGUCCUCAUAACUGUCAAGAUUAAGAGGUCUGUUCCUGUAAGUGAGGUAUUCCCUCUUAUUUGCUUAUGUCUUGUUUACGGGUGGCCUAUCCAAUGGAUAUUAUGUAGAUUUAAUCAAUUAUCUGCUCUCGAGUUGUUUCUUGUUUUCACCAAUUGUCCAAAGGGGUUUUGUUUAGAAAUCAUGCAGGCCUGAAUACUCUAGUCUGAGUUCUGAAAUGGUGGAUGAUUCCACACAUUCUCGUGGUGACAAUGUUCGUGGAAUGUUUCAGUUAUGUGCGGGGUUGGAGAAAUGUAUUGGGGGUCUGAAGGGGCUUCUGUUCCAUAGUGAAGUGUCGGUCUUGGUGUGCAAUUUAUGGGAGGUGGUGGGAGAACAACUCAAAUUGAAUCUCUCCCUUAAUUUCGUUUUGUUUCUGAAGUUGUUUUUACCAGAUAGAAGCUUACCCUAUUUCAAAUUUUUAGGUCAUCAUAUUUGUCAAGAUUAAGGAGGCUGUUCCUCUGAAUGUGAGGUAUUCUCUCUUAUUUUGUUUCGGGCUUGUUUUUGGGUGGCCUAUCCCAUGGAUAUCAUAUAAAUCCAAUCAUUUAUCUGCUUCAGAGUUAUUUCUGGUAGCAACUAUCCUCUGAACUGGUUUUGUUCAGAAAUCACGCAUGUGUGAAUACUCUAGUCUGUAUUCUGAAAUGAUCGAUGAUUCCCUGUACUCUCAUCAGUCUCAUGAUGAUAAUGCUUCUGGAAAGUCUCAGAUUUAUGUGGGGUUGAAUUAUAUUGCGGAUUUGAAGAGGCCUUGGUUCCACAGUAAGGUGCUGGUUGUCAGUAUGCAGUGUAUGCCAAUGAACCUCAAAUUAAAGGUGAAAUGGUGGUUCUCAAAAAUUAAUUUUCUCUUUUUGAUUUUAAAUUGUCUUUAACAGAGAGGAUACCCUGUUUCAAAUUGUUAGGUCACUCUCAAGAUUAAGGGGCCAGUUCCUCUCUAAUACUGUAUGUGAGGUCCUCCCUCUUAUGUUUUUGUCUUGGUUUUGGUUGUCCUGUCCCACGGAUAUCCUAUAAAUUCAAUCAUUUAUUACUCCAGAGUUGUUUUGGUUCAUUUAUUGUCUAAACAGGUUUUGUUCAGAAAUCCUGCAGGUGUGAAUACUCGUAUCUAAGUUCUGAAAAGCUGGAUGAUCCAUGCACUCUCAUGAUGAUACUUUUCCUACAAAAUCUAAGUUCUGAAAUGCUGGAGAAAUGUAUUAGGGAUUUAAAGGGACUUUUGAUCCACAGCGAGUUGCCAAUCGAUGGUGUCACUGUAUGGGGGCUCGUGAGAAAACAACUCUUGCAUUAAAUCUCUGCAAGGACCCUUAUAUUAAAGGUGAAAUGGUGGUUCCCAAAACAUUUUGUUUUGUUUUGAAGUUGUUGUCUUUAGUGAGAAGAAGGCCAUUCUGUUCCAAAUUUCUUGGCCCUCAUAACUGUCAAGAUUAGGGGAACUGUUCCUCCUUGUAGAAGGUAUUCCCUCCUGUUUGUCUCCUGUUUUGCUUUUGGGUGGAUAUUAUAACACUUAUAUCAUUAAUCUGCUGCACAAUUAAUUUUUAGUUGCAUCGAUUGGCUAGACUGGUUUUGUACGUAAAUGAUGCAGGCAUGAAUAUUCUACUAUAAGUUCUAAAAUAAUGGAUGAUUCCAUGCACCCUUGUGAUGAUAAUGUUCUUCAAAAGUCUCAGUUUUAUAUGGGGUUGGAGAAAUGUAUUGGGGAUUUGAAGGGGCUGUGGUUCCAAGGUCAGGUGUCGGUUGUUGAUGUGCAGGGUGGUUUGAAAACAGAUUCUGCAUUGAACCUCUACAGCGAUCCUCAAAUAAAAGUGUACUCUCAUGACGACAAUGUUUCUGAAAAUUUUAUGUUUGGUUGGACAACUGUAUUGGAGAUUUGAAGGGCCUUUUGUUCCACAACAAGGUGUUGGCAGUUGGUGUGCAUUGUAUGGGAGGUGAUGGGAAGACUACUCUCACAUUGGCUCAGUGCAAUGAUCCAAAUUAAAGGUGAUACACCUGUUAAUUCUGUUGAUGUUUUUCUCAAUGUUUUAAGCCUUUAUUAGAAAGGCCAUUCUAUUUUAAAUUUCUGGGGUUUCCUCCCAUGUCAAGAGUAUAGGUAUGUGCAUAAAAAGAGAUAAGCUAGCACAUACAAAGUGUGUUCAUAUGGUAUUGUGUGGUUGAUUGGAACUGUUAUUUUUAGUGCUUGUUCAUUUAUAAAAACAGUUUUGAUUACUAUAAGAACAAAAUGGGAGGUGUCUUCCUAUAAAGCCAAUAUAAUUGACAUAUAUUUUUGUGCCUCAAAAGGCAUCGAAUCAGUUUUUGUUGGAUAUUUCUUGGUCUAUCUUCUAUAAGCAAUGCCACUUCUUACCUGUUAUCAACUCCGUCAAGCUGAACGGGGGUUAGUCUCCUUGCAUCUUGAUUCCAUGAAACUCUUAACUAUCAAGAACUAUUCUUAAACAUCAAACAGUUUAAUAGUCAAAAAGUAAAUUUUUGCCGAUAACAAGACAAUAUUUUGGUGAGGAAUCAAAUUGCCAUUGACUAGUUGACCAUCAAACCCUUUGAGGUUUAAGUGGAGCGCCAUAUCAGCACUGUAUGCCAUAAUGGUAUGUGGCUGCCCUAAUCAGCUAAAAGUAUCAUGUUGAAAACACCUCUUGAAAACACAGCCAAGAGGAUUUUGUUUUCAAGCACCAGAGUUUCUUCUUUGCCGCAUUAUAUACAUUUAGAAUCUGUCAUGGGGGUCACUAUGCUACUCUGUAUUAGAUUAAAUGACAUAUUUUCAGGCAUGUUUACGUAUUCAGUCUAUAAAACACACUUGGCUUUCCAUGGGUUCUAUAUUUUUGUGACAACAAUGUGACAUCACAGCCUCGCAGUCCAGAAUCCUGAAAGGAACAUUAGAAACUAAGUAGUGAAGAUAGCUUGAAGGAAAAGACCAGAGUUCAAGGAUGUGGACGAUACACGCAUUGAGCUGCAGCAAUUGAUUUUGAGUCAAUCCAAGCUAACUAUAUUUAUUUUUUAUUAUGUUUGGUCUCAAAAACGUUAGGAAAUUUUUUUAUUAGAAGGUCCGGAACAAAAGACUUUUGUAACUAUCAGAGACAAUUCCACCGUACCCAAAAAAACCUCUCUACACAGCUCUAUCAAUUGCCAUUGUUGGAUCCAAAGGAUGCUCUGUCAUUUCUCUGCUUCUGGCCCUUUGGUCAAAUGUAAUUCCAAGUGAUACAGAUACAAAUCUAAUAAAGGAGGUAUGGAAUUUUUUGAAAUAAUUGUUGUUUUGUGAGUAAUAUACAAUUUUUUAUUUAUUAGAUUUCCUUGUUCUACAAGGUCUGCUUAUAAAUUUUCCUUAUAUUUUAUGAAUUGCAGGUGCAAAUAGAAUGUGAUGGUCUGCCACUUUUGCUCUGAUGAUGAUUGGAAGCUCUUUGUUUGGAGAACCCCACGAGGUUAGGAAGAGACCAAAGAACAAGAUUUGUAGAGUAGAAUAUAUAUGAGAUUAUCACAUAAAAGGGUUAUUUAGAUUGCUGCAGACAAGUAUUGAGUACUUAGCUAUGUUACCAAAAAUGUGGUGGAAGAGCCUGUUAAAUGUUUUAACUGCAUCGCAAUUUUUUCAGCAUGCAACGUUUCUGUUUAAAAAAACAGACCCUAUGGAGGAAGAUCAGUGGCAUAAUAUGAAUUCCCCCGAGACGGGCUCUUUUGUCUCUCUUACUUUGACAGAUACUUUAGAACUUCAAAUUUCUGAUGGUUUUCAAUUUGGAUACAAAGAAGGCAACACAGAAAAUCCAGAGAAAAAUUGAAAGAAACUAAGAAAACCUCAACUCAACUCCCUCAAUUUCUUGAGUUGUCCUAUUUACUUUAAUAAUAUCAAGUUUUCAUACCACACGCAGAAAAUUUCUGAUGGUUUACAUCACUGCUCCAAGAAAAUUUCAGUAUGCAAUGGCUUGAAAGAACUUCCACAGGAAAUAAGACAACUCGAGAAUUUGAUGGAGUUUGAUAUGAGAGAGUAUUCGCAAUUGACAUGAAGCUUGUUGUACGUGAUGAGAAGAUUAGGAAGCAGUGGUUGCUGGCCAAGAACGUUGAUCAUAAGAGUUGAAAUUGUGGAAACACACUUUAGUUUUGAUCGACUUCUUUUCUUAUCUCAUCCUGAAGCACAAGAUCCAAGCAUCUUGACAUUUUCAUAUUCACUCGUACAAAUCAAUAGAAGAUUACUUUGACAACAAUGUGAUUUUUAUCCCUGUUUCACAAUCUCCAAACCUAAAAGGAAUAUUAGAGACUAUGUGGGAGAAUUUAGCUAGAAGAAAAAGACCAGAAUUUCUGGAUGUGCAAGAUGCGCACAUAAAUCUGCAGCAGCUGCUUUCGAAGCAAUCCAAGCCAACUCUAGUUAUAUUGGAUGAUGUUCGGACUAGUGAAAAUUUGGAAGACUUAUUAUUUGAAGGCCCGGCAUAGAAGACUCUUAUAACUACCAGAGACAAGUCCAUCAUCCCCAGAACUCCCUCUUCACAACUCUAUCAAUUGCCAUUGUUGGGCACAGAGGAUGCUCUGUCGCUUUUCUGCUUCUGGGCUUUUGGACAGACAUCAAUUCCAAGCGAUAUAGAUAUAAAUCUAGUAAAGGAGGUGCAAGCAGGAUGUGAUGGUCUGCCACUUGCUCUAAAGAUGGUUGGAAGCUCUAUACAUGGGGAACUGGACGAGGUUUGGAAGAGGGCAAAGAAGAUUUCUGAAGGAGAAUAUAUGUCAGUUUAUCACAGAAAAGGGCUAUUUAGAUUGCUACAGACCAGUAUUGAUUCCUUAGACGAUGUAACCAAGGAACGCUUCUUAGACUUGGGGUUAUUUCCAAGGAACAGGAGAAUCUGUGUUGAUGCACUAUUGGACAUUUGGGUUUAUGUUCGGAAGCUACGAAGGCAUGAUGCUUGUGACAUCUUAUCAGAACUUGCAAGCAAAAGUUUGUUGAAUUUAACUAGCAAUCAAAGAGGAAGUGCAUCAAUCUCAUAUAGAAAUGCUUCGGAGCUGUACUUUUCUCAGCAUAAUGUACUGAGAAAUUUGGCCUUGUAUUUGGGACAUCUAGACAAUAUAGUUCACAGUAAGAGGUUGGUAAUAUCAAGGAAGGACUCUAAUUUGUUGGCGAAAGGGGAGUUGCUUGGUGAUAGAGCAUUUAAUACUCAAAUUCUCUCCAUUCUCACUGGCCCUAUGGCGGAAAAUGACUGGAAUGGUAUGACUUUCCCCGAAACAGAGGCUCUGUUGUUACACUUUACUUCAACAGAUUACUUUCUUCCCCCAUUUUUGAAAUCCAUGAAAAAACUAAAAGUUCUGAUGGUCUUCAAUUGCGGUGCAAAGAAAGCAACAGUGAAAGGGUUAGAUAUCUUAUCUUCACUCACUCAACUCAAAGAGUGUCCGCAUGGAGAGAUUGAUUUCACCCCUUGUUGAAAAACAAAGCAUCGAAGCACUGCAGAAUUUAGAGAAGCUAUCACUGAGCUUAUGUGAAGGAUUUGGAAAUAUAUCCACAUUCACCAAGCUCCAUGAUUUAAACCUGGAUCACAGUAGUGAUUUGGAGGAGUUAACCCCUGGUGUCUGCAAUAUUCGCUCCAUUCUGUCGUGGUCUAUUACCAACUGCCAUCUGCUUCAGAAUUUACCACAUGACUUUGGAAAUAUGAGCUAUCUAAGAAUGCUAAGGUUAUCUGUAUUACCAGGCCUGAAAGAGCUUCCUGCAUCAAUUGGAAAACUUGCACAGUUGGAGUAUCUAGACAUUUCAUUAUGCGAGGGUUUGAAGAAACUCCCAAAGGAAGUAGGACAGCUCAAGAAGUUGAGGGAAAUUGAUAUGAGAGAGUGUUCGCGUUUGACGAGGUUACCUGCAACUGUUUGUGAACUAAGUUCUCUGAAGCUUGUCACCUGUGAUGAGAAGAUUGGGAAUCAGUGGUUGCGGGCCAAGAACAUUUCUAUUCCAGAGCGUAGAGUUGAAAUCGUGGAAGCAUAUUUUAGUUUGGACUGGCUUGAAGAUUGACUUUCUUGUUGAAUGUGAAGUGCAAGGGUUAUCUGUUUUUCCUCUUCCCUUGUUUCUUCAUGUUUUUUUGGUUGUCUUUUCAAAUUUGAUGAGUUUAUUUGAAGGAGUCAUUUGAGGAAAUGAAUAAAGAUAUUGUCCUGCUUUUUGUGGAUGUAA